UACAGUAAAAGCUGGGGAGGUGUGUAGGGCUCCAGUCUUUGGGUUCACAGCUUGGCUCUACAUUCAUUGCUGGAGGAAUCCAAGCCUCACAAAAGACCGCUUUUAAAGAAAAACUCUAUUUUUCUUAGAAGAACUAGAUUAAACUAAGAUCCUUUGCCAAUAAAAAGACAAACAAUAGAAAAUUCCUACAGAUUAAGAAUACCAACCAAGAUUUCAGUGAACUUACUUGCUUCAGCUCUGGGAGAACAGUUAUGACAUGGUGCUGAAUUACAUCAGUGAGGAACUAGAGCUUUAACCAAACUUGAGUAAGAACUCCCUGACUUGGAAACACUCAAGUUUCCCACACAUGACUGGAUGGCCCUGGCCACACUGGGAACGGAAUGGGGGCCUCCCAUUGGAACUCAGGGUGGAGGGGGAAGCUCGACCAGCUAUUGUGGCCCCCACUUCCAUUGACAAAAUGUGGUGGUGAGACUUGCUCUUGGAUGCUGUCAGGAAGUAUCAUCUGACUGCGUUUGCUACCCUGGGGGAGACAAACAAAACUUGAGUGAAGGAAAAUGAGAACUCACCUGAAACCAAGAAGAGUCUUUGGAAAAGGAUUUUUGUAUACAAGUGAAAUCACAAUGACAUCAAUAAUCCUGAAUUUCUUCUUCACACUCACUCAUGAAAAGUCUCCGAUUUUCCCACCUUGCUCAGCCACCUUAAGUGCCUUCCUUCAAGAUAUUUCCUACUGCUUCUAAAGAGGAUCUCCCAUUGGCUUGGGAGCAGCGUGAGAAGAGACUUGUACACAGAGAGGCUGGGCAACUUGUACAUGGUUGCACAGAUGUCCAGAGGCAGUGCUGAGAUGUGAACACAGGAAGACUGGAUUCAGCAUCUGUGCUACUAACCAGGACACUAUGAAGUCUCUCAUACCUGUGGUACUAGGAAAAUCAGAGAAAAUUUCAAGGAGGGUGGGGCAUUAGAAGCUGACUAUGGAGGAACCGGUAGGAGUUGGAUGUUUGGAAAUAGAGGGCAGGGCAUUGCAGGUAGAGAAUGGGAGUGUAUUCUGGAUGCCAACACAUCUGUGGCGGUCCUAAGAUCAGGAAUAGAUGGUCUGUAUCUUCAGUAUGACUUAAUGUUUCUGAGUGUAAGACUUAAUCUCCAUUUGAAAAAGGAUAAAAAGAAGGAAAAAAAAUAAAAGCUAUUACGUUUCUG
rnacentral:lncRNA from 10 species